rnacentral:piRNA from 1 species
UCUAAGCCUUGCAAAUGAAACUGAAUUUC